GCACCGCCCGCUCUCUUCAAGAGCUUCUCCGAUGGGGGACGCGGCGGAGCACUUCACCUUCGGGCCUUACAAGAUCGACCGCAGCGAGGUGUUCUACAGCACAACCCUAACCUACGCGAUGGUCAAUCUCCGGCCUCUGCUUCCUGGUCAUGUGCUUGUUUGCCCGAGGCGUGAAGUGAAGCGAUUUGUUGAUCUCACUGCUGACGAGACUAGUGAUUUAUGGCUUACCGCAAAGGAAGUUGGUAGCAAACUUGAGCAUCAUCAUGAAGCAUCUUCACUAACACUUGCAAUUCAGGAUGGACCUCAAGCUGGACAGACAGUGCCUCAUGUCCAUAUCCACAUCAUUCCUAGGAAAAAGGGUGAUUUUGAGAAAAAUGACGAAAUUUAUGAUGCUAUAGACGGGAAGGAGAAGGAGCUGAAGGAGAAGCUUGAUCUAGACAAAGAACGAAAAGACCGAAGCUCCGAGGAAAUGGCCCAGGAGGCUACUGAAUAUCGUGCCCUUUUUGUGUAGGGAACUCAAGGU
rnacentral:misc_RNA from 1 species